UGAUUGGCUGAACUGAAAUCAGUAUUUUUUAUUACUUCAUGUUGUAGUUGUUGUGUUGUUUCCAUUCAGGGCUGUAACCAGAAGAGGGCGCUGCUGCUGCUUCUCUCCCGACAGUCUCUUUGUGCUGCUGUAUUCAGCUCUCCUCCUUAAAUUCAGACUCAGGUAGAUUGAAUUUGUACGUUACUUCAUUUAUCAAAGUGUGAAAUGUGAAUGAGCUCCUUUUCCAGAAGCUUCCGGGUGAAUUAAUGAGCUCCUUUCUGCUCAGGAGGUCCAACAGCUGGCUGCAGCUCUCCUCCAGGGUCCGACCGUUCCUCGUCCUUUCUCUCCGCCUCACAUUCGUCUUGUGUGUUUUUUUCUCCCUCCUGCAGAAAUGGAAGCUGGGCUGAAGAAAAGACACAGACCACCUGAUUGUGCGGCUUUAAUGGUUUCAUGAAAAAGUGGCGGGGAGCAGGUCCAGCCGUUGGAGCCAGCUCAUCAGCAUGCACGGCCUCUGCUCCUCCGUCUAACUGCUUUAAUUCAGGAAACCACCCAGCUCGCCAAAUGGCUCCGAUAACAGCACUUCCACCUUAAAUGCACUUGAUCCUUUUAUUCUCUCUCUCUCUGUUUGUCUGUCGCAGCUUUUCUCCGUCUCUAAGAAAGCGGUCGCACAUCCCGCCAGCUCAUGUUCACGCUGCUCCAUCAGUCUUUCUCUGGAAGCUUCGUUUCCAUCUGCUGCUCUGCUUUCACCUCUCACAACCUCAGACUGGAUCCAAGCUGAGGACACAAAAGGGUUUGACUGGGAGAGAGGACAACUUCUUCUAGACCGGAUCACCCAGAACCAGUCCAGGGUGUUAAUGACGCUCUGUGUGUAGACGUGGAGAAGAGGAGGAGGACUGUUGAGACGCGUCUGUUAUAUUCAGGGUUUAAUCGUUUCCUCUCCAUGUUUUUACCGAGUUUACAAUAUCGACCAAAAACUGAAACUGAACGACAAAGCGGAGAGUUCUGAAAUCCACUCGCUCCGUGAGACAGGAAGCUUCUUUUCAGGGAAAAACUUCAUGAGUUUCUGCAACAUUCAGACUUUCCUGUUUCACAGACGAGUAAGAAGGACGUUUCCAGAGACUGUCCAGGAGUGUCCGUUAAAAUAACACCAAUCAGAGAUCUGAGCUGAUCAUGACACAGCCAAUCACAGGCCUCGACAGUGCGACCGUUUCACUCUCACUAAAAAUAGAUGUGUGUGAAUCGUCAAAUGUCUUUAAGGUCACGUGUGCAAAUAAAAAAAAUUAAAUGUUUUUUCUCCUGUAAAUACGGCGGUGAAGUUAGUUUCAGGUUGGAUAUAUUUUCCUGUAAAUACGGCGGUGAAGUUAGUUUUAGGUUGGAUAUAUUUUCCUGUAAAUACGGCGGUGAAGUUAGUUUCAGGUUGGAUAUAUUUUCCUGUAAAUACGGCGGUGAAGUUAGUUUCAGGUUGGAUAUAUUUUCCUGUAAAUACGGCGGUGAAGUUAGUUUCAGGUUGGAUAUAUUUUCCUGUAAAUACGGCGGUGAAGUUAGUUUUAGGUUGGAUAUAUUUUCCUGUAAAUACGGCGGUGAAGUUAGUUUCAGGUUGGAUAUAUUCUCCUGUAAAUACGGCGGUGAAGUUAGUUUCAGGUUGGAUAUAUUUUCCUGUAAAUACGGCGGUGAAGUUAGUUUUAGGUUGGAUAUAUUUUCCUGUAAAUACGGCGGUGAAGUUAGUUUCAGGUUGGAUAUCUGACGGACAUUCUCUGAGGAUCUACCGGUGUCUUCUCACUCUCCAUAACCGGGAAUAACAACAGCAGCGCGGUUAAAUCUACUCGACACCCUCACUGUCAACGUCGGUGUUGAAUAAGGGACCGUCAAUAAAUUACCGGUUGAUGUUCUCAGAAAAGGCUGUUUUCCUUCAAUAACUUCACUGUCAUGUGACCAAAAGACCUAAAAUUGAUUUCUAAUAAUAGUACUAAGGUCGAUCAAUAAGGCAAAUAUUAUUGAUCAGUUUUCAUUGAUCCUCUAAAGUUCUUUGUGCUCCUUACUUUUUGAACUCAGGAGAACAAAGUUAGAGUCAGGUGUGAGUCCAGACUUCUUAAACACUGUCACGGUGAACAUCUACAUUACUGUCGUACUUUCUCGUUUUUUCUCGCUCAGAGGAGGAAAAGUGAGACCAGGACUCCCAGACUGAAGGUCCCCCCCUCCCGUCGGCCUCUGUAAUGAAAGUGUUUCUCGUUUUUCCUCGUCACGUCCGGCUCUGAAGGGAACAGAGAUGUCACAGAUGACCCCCCCCCUCUCUGAGACGGUCCUGUGGGGGUUCGAGGGAGGGAGGCCGAGACCAUCAUGAAGGAAACGGACUCUUUAUAAGCUGCUGUAUGAGCUGAGGGAGGAUGUAGAGGACACCUGUGUGUGUGUGUGUGUACAGACCCUGCUGUAACCCCCUCCUCUCUUUCCUGUGAGCGCCCCCACUCUCCUGCAUGUUUUGGUUUCCAGUGGAGCGCAGUCUGAGUGUUUCCUCCAUGACCGGCACGCCGGGCCUGUGUCAGAGCGAGGCUAGGGGGGCCGAGGGGGCCCAGGAGCGGUGGAGUGCCUCCACUCCUGAGGAUCCGCACGUGCUCGGUCUGUCUCCGGUGUGAUUCAAAGUAAAAUAUGUGCUCUGCUGUAACGCUGACACGGUGAUCAAUCACAGGAAACUUCCACCAACAGAGAGAGAAGAGGACAGAUUCGUCUCCUGAGCCUCACAGACAGACGUCCAGCUGAACCCCGAGGAUUUUAACCACAUGCUGACUGCAGACCGAGCCGAGGGCUGAAAUCUUCAUUUACAGGACAGCAGAACUCUGACAACACAGAGAUGAACCUUUUUAUGAAUGAAAGAAAAAGGAUGAACUCCUAAAUUCAGAUUUAUAAGACAGUGAUAACAGCUGUUUGAAUGAACGGACAGAUUUUAAUGCUCUUAAAUCAAUAAAACCUGAAGUACUUAAGGAUCAUCCAGGAGUCCCUCAGGGUUCAGUUCUUAACCCCCGUCUGUUUACUCCACAUUCAUGAAAUCGACACGAUAGAAACAUCUUUUCUUUGUUGAUGAGAGAUUUUUACAGGAAACAUGGAGACGCUUCUUUAACACGUCUGAGUUUGAGGAAUAAUUUCAUUUAUUGAAGUUUUUUAUUGAACUUAAAGGUGAAGUAGACAGGAAUCUGUUAAAGAAGCAUUUAAAUAUCAGUCAAUAGUUAUUAGUUAUUGAUUAUUUGGUAAUAUAUCGAUAUCUCUGUGUUCUCUUCUGUCUGUGUCGUCAACAUUUGAACAUUUUUGAGCGGUCCGCUCUUUCUGACUGUAAACAAAGCCGUUCUCCACCUCCUCUAACCUGAUUGGUUGUGAGGCAGACGCUGCUCCCCCGUGUCGUUCAGGAGCCCAAACAAAGUUAGCGUGCUACAAUAUCGGACAGUAGAAACCAACCAGAAAGUUCGGAAAAUUGUCCGAAUCCUCCUUUGGCCACGACUGCCGACACAAGCAAGAAAACGACGUAAAUACCGGAGACUCUGGAGGAAUAAUUUAUCUGCAUUUUAUGUGAAUUGAACUGGAACUAAACUGGUUGGGGGGGUCGAGUUUACAGUCAAGAUUUCUCCUAAAAACUGGGACUAACUCAGAUCCUGACUACAACACCUCUAAUUAAAACAAAGUUCAUAUUUUUUUUACUCUACAACUUCAGAAUCGAGUGAAACUUUGAUGCCAAAAUAAAAAUGAACUCAUUGAUCAUGAACUUAGUUUGAAGCUUCAUCCAAAUAAUAUUAAACGUAAAAUGACAAACAGAAAAACUGAGGUGGAUGAGAAAUGAUCUCACAGUCUUUAUUGUCUUCUUACGGCUCCAUGUUUGACACACUGUACAGAGUAAUAAUACACAACAAAUACUGCGUCUGAUUUAUACGACUCUUAAAGCCUUAAAUUCCUACAAACCAACCAAAGAACGAUUUUAGUUUAAAGACGCUCAGAUUUUAUGAUUCAAAUCGACAUAUCUCCAAAAAUAAGGCAAAACAUACAAGCAAACAAAAUACAAAAAAUAAAUGCAUAAAUUUUCUCUUCCUUCCCUUUUUUUUUUUUUUAACAUACAGAAAGUAAAUAACAACCAAAAAGUAACCAAAUCGACAUAUCUCCAAAGUUGUUAUUUACUUUCUGUAUGUUAAAAAAAAAAAAAAAGGGAAGGAAGAGAGAAAAAAAAAAAAAAAAAUGUAAGGUAUAAUAUUGUAAAAUGAAAGCCUGACUAUGUUUGUGAAAGAAAGAAGCCUUGCAAUAAAGUAAUAAAAAAAAAAAAGAUUUUAUGAUUCAGACGAAACUUCACGAGUGAGAAAAAGUGGAUUAAAGCUGCAAAAAAUGCAAAAAAAAAGGAUCCGUUCAGUAAAAUGAGUCAGAUUUAGUGUUUUAGUCGGACAGUGUCCUCCUCUGUUGAUAUGGGACUGAUAGUUUCAGUGUGUGAGCACUAGGGGGCAGCAGAGGCCGACAGAUACAGGAUGUGAGCAGAGAUGGAUCACAGAUGUGCUGAGAGUCACUGAGAAACAGAAAUUUUCCCUUUUUUACGUUUAAAGUUGAGAUGAAGUCAAGAAACCGUGUUUUAAAAAAAAAGAGACAAACUUCUCCUCCUGCUGCUCCUUCAACGUUCCUCUGACGCUGCAGGUUCAAGAAAAGGUUCAGAUGUUUGAACGAGAACAGCUCCUCCAUCAGAGAGUCUGUGGUGUCCGAGAAAACCAGAAUAAACAUGGAGGAAGUUAACACACAAUUAUCACACAACGAAGACUCACAAAGAGAACGAGAGAACCCGCCUCUCUGAGCUGAACACGAGCGGAGCGGCUCUGCGUUUGAUAAAUGAGGAGAUCUUUUCUUCUUUUGGAGGAUAAAUGACGUGACCUCUGACCUCCGACUGUAUCUGCGACUCUUCAGAGAGCAGGAACGGUUAAAGAUGAGGCUUCUCUGCUUGUUGUGGAAACUUGACAGAUUGUUUUAAUGGGCUUCGUCCAGCUGAGCCAGAGUCGGAGGAGCGUUCGGAAAAUGUUGCAUGUAAAACAGAGAGAGCUUUUGUUGAAUCGCUCUGACUGAUUCAGUCUGUUCAACACGUGAUUUCUUUUCCUCGCAGCGACGACUCUGCUCCAAAUCUGUCUGAAUCCAGUCCAAACACAUUCCAGGGUGUGUGGAGCGUGUUUCCUGUGUGUGAGGUGUGUGUGUGUGUGUGUGUGUGUGUGUCAGUGGGUCAUUGCAGAAGUUGCAGGUCCAUUUCAUAACAGCUCCCUGUGUUUGUGCGUGACGGCGCCGCGGCGUUCCCUCUAUCAGAGAGACGAUCUGAAGAAACACUUCAGCUGUGUGUGUGUGUGUGAGUGUGUGGGUGUGUGUGUGUGUGUGUGUGUGUGUGUGUGUGUGUGUGCGUGCGUGUGUGUGUGUGUGUGUGUGUGUAAACCUCCUCUCAGGUACAACAAGCUGGAACCUGUGAUAAAUAUUUGAAGGUCAGUGUUCUGACGCUCUGAGGGGACGGAGUGAUGUUUGAUGGAGCUCAGCUGGAGGAGGGAAAAUCUCUGACACGAGAGGAGGAGGAGGAGGAGGAGGAGAGGAAGAGGAGGAGGAUGAGAGAGGAGGUGGAGGAGAGGAGGAGGGAGAGGAGAGAGGAGGAGGAGAAGGAGUGAGAGGAGAGUUUGGCGGAGUUUGGUUGGUGUUAUGUAGAUGUAAUCCUCUCUGAUGGACAGGUGGAGCAGUGUGUGCACAGUACACACACAUGCAUGUGCAGUAAGCAUGCUGGGAGAGUGUGUGUGUGUGUGUGUGUGUGUGUGUGUGUGUGUGUGUGAACAGGGGCCCGUAAAUUCCCCGUUUCUUUAGCGGGGGGCCGGCCUGCAGAGGAAACAGAGAUGGAUCUUCUCCAAAUGCCCCCUCAGGCGCUCUAAUGCCCGCUUUGUCCCGCUCCUAAUUCUAUUAUGGUGAUGGUAAUGGGAGGGGGUCCCAGCUUCCCUCCCCUGUUUGGCUCCAGUCCUGAUCCAAGACCCCUCCUCACACCCCCACGAGAGUUUCCGGCACAAAGACACAACAGCUAAACGUCCCCCAGAGGCCCCCUGAGAUGGACGAAGUCCCUCUGCUGCAGAGAGAUGAUCUGAGGUCUUCAGAGAGUGAGAGCUGAGUGUCCUGAAAACUGCUCACUGAACAACAUCACCAUAAAUAAUAAUCAUCAAGUUAGUCAAUCAACUGUAACC